rnacentral:rRNA from 1 species
UACGGAAGGGGGGCUAGCGUUGCUCGGAAUCACUGGGCGUAAAGCGCACGUAGGCGGCUUGUUAAGUCAGGGGUGAAAUCCUGGAGCUCAACUCCAGAACUGCCUUUGAUACUGGCGAGCUUGAGUUCGGGAGAGGUGGAGUGGAACUGCGAGUGUAGAGGUGAAAUUCGUAGAUAUUCGCAAGAACACCAGUGGCGAAGGCGGACUCACUGGCCCGAUACUGACGCUGAGGUGCGAAAG